ACUCCCUGAUUAUUUGAUAACUCGCUAGGCCUAGGGUCACCGUCCGACUAACGCGUAGCGUAAUUCUGAACAGGGCUAAAAACAAUGAAUAAAGAAGAUAAUGUUAGGAAAUAUUAAUGAAUAAAGAAAGAUAAGAUGUUAGAGUAGUAAUACGACUGUCGUGUGUUUAAGAAAAAAGAGAAGAGUCAAAGAAACUGCUUCGAACGCCAACCUAUCACGCGCCUCUGCGGUGUCAUCGCAGACGUCGCCAUUUAUAAUUACCGUGUAAUGUGUCUGUAUACCCCUCUUAUAGUCCAAAUUGUGGAUCUAUUUACAUGUUAAGAGGAAAAAUACAAAGGAUUUUACCCAAAGAUAAAUAAUAUAAAGAAUAUUCAGACUCUUCAAGAAUCAGCAAAAUGUUACGGCUAGAUGUAUAAAUAUAUUUCCAAUUAAACAAAGAACGGGAUAACCACACAGUUGCCAACGGGAGCAAAUGAAUGAGCUAGCUGAAACCCAACUUUUAUAUAUUCAAAGUU
rnacentral:lncRNA from 1 species